ACACAAUUUUACCGUUUUGUCGG
rnacentral:siRNA from 1 species